UGGGGAAUAUUGGACAAUGGGCGAAAGCCUGAUCCAGCCAUGCCGCGUGUGUGAAGAAGGUCUUCGGAUUGUAAAGCACUUUAAGUUGGGAGGAAGGGCAGUAAGCGAAUACCUUGCUGUUUUGACGUUACCGACAGAAUAAGCACCGGCUAACUCUGUGCCAGCAGCCGCGGUAAUACAGAGGGUGCAAGCGUUAAUCGGAAUUACUGGGCGUAAAGCGCGCGUAGGUGGUUCGUUAAGUUGAAUGUGAAAGCCCCUGGCUCAACCUGGGAACUGCAUCCAAAACUGGCGAGCUAGAGUAGGGCAGAGGGUGGUGGAAUUUCCUGUGUAGCGGUGAAAUGCGUAGAUAUAGGAAGGAACACCAGUGGCGAAGGCGACCACCUGUGCUCAUACUGACACUGAGGUGCGAAAGCGUGGGGAGCAAACAGG
rnacentral:rRNA from 1 species